AUGGAUAGUGCCUUCCUUCAGCUGAAAAUCUUCCUCAGAAUUUCAAAGUUGCAUGCUCCUCGGCGYGCAUCCUCUUUCACGCCAUGGAUAGCUUCGCUCCCUCGCCCUGCGAGGCGGCGCGGACGGGAAACGUGGGGCCGUACCCCUCGGAGCAGGAGGGCUUCGGGRCGAAAGCGAAACAGCCUUACUGGAAGUGAAGACGACGUUCGCUGACGAAACAAAGUGGAACCACGAGACGCCGAUGGGUGUUUCGAGACGUAUAUGGGAGAAGUGUGCCGGCCAGAAAAAAAGAGGAGUUUUGCUUCUCUGGGGAACGCUGUCCACCGUGAGGCAAAUCCCUUGCCUUCAGUCUGAAGGUCCAUUCAUUCUCCUACAGCUCCAGCCCUGAACUGUGCUUAUUAACGUAAGCUGCCCUUGCAAAAAGUGAAGAAGGACAUUUGUGUAAAUUCAGCUAUAAACACUACAGGUUUUCGUGCCUUUCCAUGGUGAGGGGGAGGCUGCCUUGAAAUUAAAUUCUAGGCUGGGAUUCAGUUCCGGACUGAAUUCCUGCCUUUCACAGAUGGCAACUUUGAUUUUUGCCAGGCGCAGCCUCUACCACUGUGGAUCCCUGAUGGUGAUGGCAAUACGGACACGCUGCUGUAAUGCAGAUAAUGCCUUCAUGGCCAUUAGCAACAUAAAGAAAUUCUCUGUGCUCCAAGCCUUAGAUUAUCUGCAAAUGCAUAUUCCCCCUGACACACAGAAUUAAGGUCAAACUCAAUUAAUGUAAUCCAACCAAUAUGGAGAAUUUAAAUUAAAACGAGCAAAACUCCUUGAGAUGCAUCUCCCAAAGUUUACAGUGAAUAAUGUACAGCAGGGAAAGGUCAGGUUCCAGUUAAUGACUCGAUGUUAAAUUUGGCCCUGGUUUCUCCAAGACACUAUUUCCUCUUGAAUUGUUUCAGUUGCUUGGAUGCUUGCAGGCAUUUUCUUUUCUUACCUUUACAGAGAAUUUAAUUGUCUGAAACGCCAUUGUCUGAAGGGUAAAAAAGGGAAAAAAAUCAAAAAAAUAAAGUAAUUUCUUGUAUC
rnacentral:lncRNA from 1 species